UCAGCCAUUUUAUCUUCUACCAUUCAAAGUCGCAAUAGAAUAUAUA
rnacentral:tRNA from 1 species